AAGGAUACUUCCAAAUCACUUGGACCUGAUGUUUUAAGUCUCUUAAAAGUUAUUUUUUGUUGCUAGUUUAAAUGCUCUUUUCUAUUUAAUUGGCAGGUAUUUUAUCACUCUUGGGCUUAUGUAUAAAGGGAAAAUUAUGAGUGGAUCAAAUGGGUGAAAGUAUCCCUAAACCUUCUUCAGAUUCAGAGUCACUUUGUGAUUCAAAAUCAUCAGGUAGGUAAUGUUUCAAACAGCACUGCCCUCCGUGUCAUCAGGAUUAUAGGUGAUGCAGCAGUUCUUAAAAGAAUCCUUAAAAAGAACCGAGACAUGUUUGCUGAAUGUUCCUUCUGCCUUUGCGGUGAUGCAGAGCUGGCCUCCUGUUGAUGCCUGCUUUCAGAGUAUUGCUAAAUACCUCUGAUUUGGCAAUUCUGUCACCCUUUCUGCACAACCAUUUGAUUCCUGGGGACUCAAAAAAAUGAUCUCCGCUUCUAGGAUUUUCUUCCCAGCCACUGACACCCAUCCUGGGAGUUGUGAUGCUGAAUCUGCCCACCACAACACUGCCUGAGUGAUCGAACACGCAAGCCUGAUAUUGUCAACCCCACUUUAAAUUCUUCUUUGGCUUCUACUGCAUUUUGGGGAAAUGACCCUCACUUCCAGCCCAGCAUACAAGGUUCAUCUCCACCUGGAUGCAUUUAAUAAAAGCAGACCAAAGCUACUGAAGUUCUCACUCUGCAAAGGCAGGUAUGUUGGGCUGCAGGAAGGAGGUGGCAGGCCGUGAGCCACAUGGGCCGGAAGUGAUGAUGGACGACAUGAAUGGAGGCCGUUCUGGAAGAAGAUGAUCAUGGGCAGAGAGGGAGAGCACACGAGGUUGGGGCUGGACUUCAAACCACAGUCCCCCGGGUUCUAGCACCCUUCAAUAAGAAAAUGGAUGGGGAGAAAAAAAAUUCCUUCUUCACAUCUCCCACGUGAAUGUGCCCAGCCCCUCUCACAUUCCAGGCCUGUGAUAGAUACAGUACGAGGACAAAGACAGAAGUACAACUUAGGUCAAAGAACUAGGCCUUGAGUGCCAUACCCAGCAGCCUAGACUUCAUUCAGGGGGCAGGUGACAUGAGCCCCGCUGUGGGAGGGAAAGCCGGCUCUCCCCCGACCUGGAAGCUUGGUCUGUGCGGGGAGAAAGGGGCAUCCUGUGGCAUGGGCUGCUGCCCCCUGCCCAGCCUGAUGGAGCAGGGCCUCUACCAGCCCCUAUCCAAACCCCCUACCCCCACCCCCCGUACUGCUCUCUCAAGGCUGAAGAGUCAAUAAACUCAGUUUCUCCCAGAAAGAGUAUGUCUUCGGGAAGGCCCUGGGGAAUACGUCUGCAAAGUUUAAUUUCUGUUGAAGGAUCCUGAGUAGGCAAAGAAUAUGGAAGGAGGGGGAGCGUGAAGAGGAGCGGAAGGAGCAGACAUCUGUUUGCUGAGAAUUUAACUUAUACCAGGACUUUCUGGGUGCAUGGUAACCUCAUUCGAUGCUUGCAACAGCCUUCUGAGGUGGGGAGAAAAUGAGAGCGUGGGUGGAACUCGGAAGAGACCAGGGAGGCCCUGUGAUCUCCGAUGUUUGAUUCGUUCGGCAAAUAAUUAUCAAGUGACCCUGGGUGCUGGGCAUCGACCGAGGUGCUAGGGACCCAGCAGUGCCCAUGACAUCAUCCCUUUCCUCAAAGACCUUUCCGUCUCGUGUUGGAAACAGGCAUAUUGACAGGACUUUAGAGCCCUUUUUCCAGUGCGUUAACCUCCAUUCAUGUUUCUGCCUGAUCACCUCCAGGAAUCAAGAGACUUUACCUCUCAAGAAACUUAUCAAACAUCCUUAAGCAUAUGAUAAAUAUUUCUUUUCCUUUUUCAUUAUGUCUUAAAAAUACGAAUGCAUCUUACAAGUGACACAGGAAUUCACGUAGCUGAUUUUUUCAUUAACAGCAAAAACAAAGAAUACAAUGUUAUUCAAUCAAUGAUGUGGAUCGAUAGAGCCUUAAAUCUGGGCAUUGGGCAAGGACUGUGAGAAACAGAAAUGAACCAGGGCGCCUAGCCUCAAAAGGCUCACAAAAUGGGAUCCUCUUACAAUGGGCCUAAUGUCAUAUUCGCAGUGAGAAAUAACAGGAAAUAAUUGUACGUGAAACCACUGAGAAGGCUUUCCAGGGAGCAUGUGCUUUCAAGGGCGGAUGGAGUGAGGGACUUGAGGGCACAUGAGGAGACUCUCGCAGCCAGAGGGAACAGAGCAUGCAAAGGGAUUAAGAACUUGUCUGGUACGUUUGGGGAAGAGCCACAGAAUC